CACAGAGAUGCUCAGAGGGACACAAGAUGUGUAUGAGAGACACUAAGAUACCCACAUAGUAACUCACCCCUGUGCACUACGUGGGACACCACUGCGCCUCCCACUCCCCGCAGGAACUCUCAAAGGGAUUUGGGAAUUUCCUUCCAAAGUAGGUCACCUCAACCCUGGCUACAGGGAGGAUUGCUCAGCAAGAAAGAAUGGGACUUGGAACCCAGACUCCUUUCACAGGACCAAAGUCCUUAGAAAGAACCUAUGGAAUAUUUUGUGCCACUGUCUUGAUUACACUGAUAGAAUUCAAGAAUAAUGCCCUAUAAACCAAGUCAGUCUAGAACACACACGCUUUUAGCCCUUUCCCUCUUGUGAGAUUUUUUUUUUUUCCUGUUCUCACUGCACUCAAUGCCAGCCAGCAUAAUUUCCCAUGUAAUUUAGGAUCCCAAGGCCCCUAGUGCUCUGCUCUCCACAUUAAACAAAAAGCCAUACUAAACAGCCAAACUAAAGAAGGAAGACAACAUACCCGCUCUAGGAAAGAAUUAGCUGUUGGCUUUGUGGAGUAAACACCGGCUUAAGUAAAAGAUUAUCUGCCUUUCCAAUCCCUCAAUGAUAUUUGUCUUGUCACAAAACGAAAGCAACACUGAGCUCACAUGAUCUGACUACAGGAUCACCAGACUGCUUCAACAGUGAAAAUGACAGAAGGUGAAGAACAGUGUCUCCUGUUUCUAAGGAAUGAGGUAGGGUGCUGGUUACCUCUGGGGAGACCAGAACCACAGGGGCCAAAGCCCCAGCCCGGGGAGGCCUGAGCUGGCCAGACAGAGCUUACUCAGUUCAACUGAGUAUUCACCCUUCACUUUCUGCCAUAAAUACCCAUCCUGAUCACUUCCUCACCCAAAGCAAGUAAGUAACUUCCAUGAUUCUGGUGGGUGUCCAUCCCCCCACCAAAACAUGACUACUCUCUCCAAAGCUGCGGGUCAUAAACAAUGGUUUCUAUAAUCUCAGUGAGGCUCCAAAUGCUCAGCUGACCUCUUUUCUCCUUUGAGAAUUUCAGUGACUUAAGUCCUUGGCCAGCGACUAGAAGAAUGUGUGAGCUAAUGUAAUUUAUGUGAGCUAAUAAGCUCAAAGAGCCAACUUAUAGAAUGCAGGGGUCAGGGAUCAAAGCUUCCACCCAGCACCAAAAAGACGUUAACAUACGCUACAUGGCCUCCUUCCUACUUGUCCAUAUAAACUUAGCCUCUUGAUGACAGAAGUCUCUUUUGUAGCUUAACAAACUAAAGGAUUUUUAUGUCUUUUCAGAUAUAAAAUAUGGUUGAAGAAAAUUCCAAAAGCAGUGUUGUGACUAAUAUAACCAGAAAAGUUACUAUCAUGGUAGAAGACAAAGCCUGGAGCACAGAUGCUACAGUAAGUCAGCUGCAACCAUGCAGGUGAAGGCAACAACCUAAGGAAUGAUGAGGAAGGAACAUGGAAGGAACCUGGAUCCCAGAUUGAUCUUGUGGAGCAAAGCUGCCCAGCUAGGCUAGACCAGCCACACUGAUGGAUUUCGAUGGCCUUGUCCAAGUCUCCCUCCAGCAAGUGGAUCUUGCCCAGCAUUAUAAUGAUGAUGUGAUGUUAGAGCUGCAGCAGUCAUCUGGUAAUCAUGAAGAAAAAGCCUCAGCAUUGACAUCGCUGGACCACCAAAUCAAUGUCGGCAACUACUUACCCGGAUUUCUUGUUUCAUAAGAAAAAAAUAAACUAAUUUAUAA